rnacentral:rRNA from 1 species
UGUCGUCAGCUCGUGUCGUGAGAUGUUGGGUUAAGUCCCGCAACGAGCGCAACCCCUAUUGUUAGUUGCCAUCAUUCAGUUGGGCACUCUAGCGAGACUGCCGGUAAUAAACCGGAGGAAGGUGGGGAUGACGUCAAAUCAUCAUGCCCCUUAUGACCUGGGCUACACACGUGCUACAAUGGUUGGUACAACGAGUUGCGAGUCGGUGACGGCGAGCUAAUCUCUUAAAGCCAAUCUCAGUUCGGAUUGUAGGCUGCAACUCGCCUACAUGAAGUCGGGAUCGCUAGUAAUCGCGGAUCAGCACGCCGCGGUGAAUACGUUCCCGGGCCUU